rnacentral:rRNA from 1 species
AAUACGAAGGGACCUAGCGUAGUUCGGAAUUACUGGGCUUAAAGAGUUCGUAGGUGGUUGAAAAAGUUAGUGGUGAAAUCUCAGAGCUUAACUCUGGAACUGCCAUUAAAACUUUUCAGCUAGAGUAUGAUAGAGGAAAGCAGAAUUUCUAGUGUAGAGGUGAAAUUCGUAGAUAUUAGAAAGAAUACCAAUUGCGAAGGCAGCUUUCUGGAUCAUUACUGACACUGAGGAACGAAAGCAUGGGUAGCGAAGAGGAUUAGAUACCCUCGUAGUCCAUGCCGUAAACGAUGUGUGUUAGACGUUGGAAAUUUAUUUUCAGUGUCGCAGCGAAAGCGAUAAACACACCGCCUGGGGAGUACGACCGCAAGGUUAAAACUCAAAUGAAUUGACGGGGACCCGCACAAGUAGUGGAGCAUGUGGUUUAAUUCGAAGAUACGCGCAGAACCUUACCAACACUUGACAUGUUCGUCGCGACUCUAAGAGAUUAGAGUUUUCGGUUCGGCCGGACGAAACACAGGUGCUGCAUGGCUGUCGUCAGCUCGUGUCGUGAGAUGUUGGGUUAAGUCCCGCAACGAGCGCAACCCUCACUUUUAGUUGCCAUCAUUAAGUUGGGCACUCUGAAAGAACUGCCAGUGAUAAGCUGGAGGAAGGUGGGGAUGACGUCAAGUCCUCAUGGCCCUUACGUGUUGGGCUACACACGUGCUACAAUGGUAUCUACAACAGGAAGCAAGACUGCGAGGUCAAGCAAAUCCUUAAAAGAUACCUCAGUUCGGAUUGCACUCUGCAACUCGAGUGCAUGAAGCUGGAAUUACUAGUAAUCGUGGAUCAGCGUGCCACGGUGAAUGCGUUCCCGGGUCUUGUACACACCGCCCGUCACACCAUGGGAGUUGGUUCUACCUUAAGGCAAGGUUUAAAACCCUUGACCACGGUAUAGUCAGC